AUUGAACGCUGGCGGCAGGCCUAACACAUGCAAGUCGAACGGUAACAGGAAACAGCUUGCUGUUUCGCUGACGAGUGGCGGACGGGUGAGUAAUGUCUGGGAAACUGCCUGAUGGAGGGGGAUAACUACUGGAAACGGUAGCUAAUACCGCAUAACGUCGCAAGACCAAAGAGGGGGACCUUCGGGCCUCUUGCCAUCGGAUGUGCCCAGAUGGGAUUAGCUAGUAGGUGGGGUAACGGCUCACCUAGGCGACGAUCCCUAGCUGGUCUGAGAGGAUGACCAGCCACACUGGAACUGAGACACGGUCCAGACUCCUACGGGAGGCAGCAGUGGGGAAUAUUGCACAAUGGGCGCAAGCCUGAUGCAGCCAUGCCGCGUGUAUGAAGAAGGCCUUCGGGUUGUAAAGUACUUUCGGCGGGGAUGAAGGGAGUAAAGUUAAUACCUUUGCUCAUUGACGUUACCCGCAGAAGAAGCACCGGCUAACUCCGUG
rnacentral:rRNA from 1 species